UCCUCUUCAACGCUGCGUUUCCAUGUCGAACCUACGGAGAGUCUGUCUCACGAUGGACUCUCAUCACCGUACAUGUGAGAAAUUCGGAGUAAUCUUCAUCCAUCAGGGGAAGCCGCGGUCGUUUUUCUGCAAAGAAAAAAAGGACGGGUGAUACCUAACUUCUUCAAGCCCGUGACGGCCUGGCGUGACUUCACGUCUGCAAUUGGCAUCAGAAAAGCAGGGACGGUAGGCGGCUUUCUAAGCUCGUCAAGCCGAUCACCUCUGGGAGAGCCGUUGCGAAGAUUUGUGUCGGGAGACACUGGAGUGCGAUACGCGGCGUUACCACGGGACUCGUGUCCCUCUUCCCUUCGGGGCUGAGGUGGCCUUGUCCGAGUAACAAUUCAAUUCCGAUUACUCUGCUGAGGA
rnacentral:RNase_P_RNA from 2 species